GACGAACGCUGGCGGCGUGCUUAACACAUGCAAGUCGAACGGAAAGGCCCUGCUUUUGUGGGGUGCUCGAGUGGCGAACGGGUGAGUAACACGUGAGUAACCUGCCCUUGACUUUGGGAUAACUUCAGGAAACUGGGGCUAAUACCGGAUAGGAGCUCCUGCUGCAUGGUGGGGGUUGGAAAGUUUCGGCGGUUGGGGAUGGACUCGCGGCUUAUCAGCUUGUUGGUGGGGUAGUGGCUUACCAAGGCUUUGACGGGUAGCCGGCCUGAGAGGGUGACCGGCCAAAUUGGGACUGAGGUUCGGGCCCAACUCCUUCGGGGAGGAACAGGGGGGAAUUAUUGAACAUGGGCCGGAGGCUGAAUGAGCAACCGCGGGGGCCGGAUGGCGGCCUUCCGGGUUUAAACCGCUUUUGGCUGUUGCCGAGGCGUAGUGACGGUUAUGGGUUAAGAAGCACCGGCUAACUACGUG
rnacentral:rRNA from 1 species